AAAGUCGUAACAAGGUUUCCGUAGGUGAACCUGCGGAAGGAUCAUUAACACGUUUUUAACGUUUCCAAACAACUCGUGAACCCAAACCUCCCUUUAUCAUAUAUACCUAUGGUGCUCUCAGCACAAUGCUCAGUCAGUGGACAAACAAUCGGAGAUACGAAGCUAUUAAGUUAGUGGAGAUUAUCCUUGGAGCAGCUGGCACUGGUAUGCCGUUGAGCUACGACAUAGGUCUUGAUAAGGCAUUUUUAUUCUCCACUUUCACCCCAUAAACCGAUCAUGGCAACAUGACGAUAAGAAGGACUAAUGCUAAUCAGGAUUUCGAUUUUGAUUGGAGUUAUGUAACAUAAGCACAACUCUUAGCAACGGAUAUCUUGGUUCUC
rnacentral:misc_RNA from 1 species